CUGAAGGGAUUAAAUUUACGUGUUGUGACCGUAGUACAGUAUUUGUAUUUGAUUGCACUACUUGUCCCAUAAAGAAAAAAAAAGUGAAAUGAAUGAAUAAUGUUGAUUGUUUGGUAAAAGAGUGAUUCCAAAAAGUUACCACCUAACAUUUCUUUCUCCCAGCAGGCCCCAACCUAUGACCCAUUCCGCAGCCUGCCCCACGAUGCCCUCCGGACCCUGUGCAGGUUAACGUACCAAACGGUGUUGGUACUGUGGCAGCCUUGAUAUAAGCAUUGUAACGUCCACCGUCGUGCUUCAGCAUGUCCCCAUUACGGUUCGCAUAGUAAAUGGAAACCUUCUUCUCCAUAA